CUAUGAUUAAGAGACCACUGAGAGCAGAAGAGGAGACUAACGCUGGACGCUCGUUGACUGGGAUUCCUCACAAAGAACCACCACAUAGCUACCCAUGAGGUAGCAGCUAGCUUCAAGUGGCUGGGCCUUUGUGCCGUGAUAUCGACGCUGUGAAUAUCAAAAAGCAACCAUGCCGGCUGCCAUAAGAGUAUCAGUGAAUCCUCCAUCUGAUCAGUGGGUUGAGUGUGUGCCUGCAGUUGAUUCACAUCAGCCAGAUUAUCCCGAGGAGAAGCAGAAUGACAUCAUUCACAGUAUCGAACAGCUGAAUGACAAAGUUGAUGCACUGCAUCCUUGGACCAUCCUUGAAAGUGUCGGUUCCCAGACAUACCAAGAGAGAGAACAAUGUGAACGCUGCUGACAAGAUUAUCCGAAGGUUGGCCAGCUCUA